CCAAGACCCAGCUGCUACACACCAAUUCUGAGUUUCCACCAGAAAAUACAGGGAGCAGUUUCCCUGGCAACCGCCAAGUUGCAGCUUCAGGUUGGCACACUCUGCAGUUGGAAUCAGACUGCCGGUUGCCGGAAGGGGAGCCGUGGUACGGAGGGUGGGGAUCUGGGCCUGGGAGGCAGCUGCCCUCCUCCCUGCAGGCGGCUCCCAGCCCUCCUGCCUGGGCCGCUCUCCGUGGAGCCUGGUGGAUGCUCCUUUAUCUGAGUUUCCUGAGUGACUUUGAUGAACAGAGACCCCUGUCUACCUGGACGAGCAUGUAGCAUGGAUGAACAAUACAACUUUGUUUUUUUAAGCCACUGAGAUCUCGGCUCUUUUGUUACUGCAGCAUAUCCUAGCCUAUACGGACAGAUACAUGCUUAUUAAGCUCUUACCAGAGGCCAGGUAAUACACUAAACACUCCAUAUGGGUCAUCUCAUUUGGAGGACCUUAUGACAAUCUUGUAGAAAGGACACUAUAAUUAUCCUCCUUUUACUGAUGAAGUAUUGUGGGUACAGAGACAUUAAAUAACUGUCCCAAGGUCAUGGAGCGGGCAUGUGGUGGAGCUAGGAUUCCAACUCAGACAAUCUGUCUCCAGAGCUUGCAAUUAAAACCACAGCACUCUAUAGACUGUUUGGAAAAGUGGUGGGUGUUGCACAUGGAGGAGAAGAAAGGACAUUCUUUAAAACCAACCUUUGACCACCUCCUGGCUACCUCUGUGACAAAGGCAUCAAGUUAAUAAAGUCAGUAACACCGUGGAAAUUGACAUGAUCCAGACAAAAGAAUGGUUGGGGAGCUGCUCUGCCCCAGGAGGAACAUCUUGAGCUUCUUUCUAGGGAGCAGCUUUGAAGAGAAAUAAGAUUAUAAGGAAGAUCUUAGAGCAUUUUGUGGGGGAAAAUGUCUGAUAUCAAUGUUUAGUUUGGUUCCAAGUUUAUUGUAUGGCCCUUUGCCAGGUUUAGGUGACACCACUCCUGCAUACACCCGAGUGUGGGAGAUGGAUGAGUAGAAGAAUGUGCUCUGUGUGGUGGGAGGGAGACUCACAGAGCACAGGGCUGGGCACUUUGAAUGGCCUGGGGGUCCAAGAAGGCUGGGCUGGGCAUCAGAAGCCAAGGGGGCCAGGCGAGGUGGCUUACACCUAUAAUCCCAGCACUUUGGGAGGCAGAGGCAGGAGGAUCACUCAAGCCCAGGAGUUUGAGAACAGCCUGGGUAACAUAGUGAGACCCAAUCUUUUUUUUUUUUUUUUUAAAUAAAGAAGCCAAGGGAUGUCUUCUGAGCAUCCUUAGUUUCCCUUAAUAAUGUGGCAUAAAUACAUUCCCAGGGAUUUAUCUAAACCCUUUCUGAAGCUAGUUGCGUUUUUAGCCCAUACCACCUCUGGCACAAAGAAAAGUUGUUUAAAAUAGGGCCUCCUUUAACUGAUCCUAAAAGAGUCUCUUUUAAGUUCCCAGGCACGAAGGGAGACAUUAGCACUUUUGAAUUUCAUAAGAAGUCUAUGUUUCUCCUUUGCAUAUCUUUAUGGUCUUUAUACAUUCUGAUCCUCCCCUCCCAUAUUCUUAGUCAUUUGGGAUUAAAGGAGCCCACUUUUUCACAUUUUUGAGAAGAUUCUUUAAAAGACCAAAAAAAAAAAAAAAAAAAGAAAGAAAGAAAGAAAAAGAAAAAAAAAAACCCCAAAUCUCAAAGUGGUAAUUUGUGGUUUGUCUGCAUGUCAGUUCUUAGAAUUUGAGAUCCCUUGAGAAAAUCUAGAAAAAAAAAUCCCCCAACUCAGAAAUCUCUAUUCAAGGCAUUUUCCAAAUUAAAGGAAGAUUUGGGUAUUAAUUUACCCAAGUGAUUCUUUUUAUAAUGAGAUUUUUCUUUAAAUUUCUGAUUUCAAUUGGUGCUUUGUGAAAGGUUUUGCACUCCCUUCCCCUAAACUUUGAAAAGCCUGAUUCAAAAUUGGUUGGAAAAAAUAUGCAUUUCACGAAGUCAUAAAAAUAAUGAUUCUUUGCUAUCUUAUUAAACAUGUGUUUAGACACAAUCUUAGAGAAUCCAUUCAUUGUCUUAAUAGGCAACAAAGUGUAUGAAGAUGAGUAGAAACCUACAAUUAAUUGUCUUACUAACAAUGCCUGGGUAGUCCUUUCAUUUAAUUGGUCAUCUAAUAAUCUUAUUCCUUAUUUGAUUUAUUUGCUUACAGGAGCAGCGCUAAUGUAUGUAACUUGCUGUUUGCCAAUUUCUAAUGUGUGAAAUACUCAUAAUACGGUGGUCUCCAAUGACCCGACGCUGCAAAAAUGGAUGGUUCUCACAUUAGGAUGGAAAUAACUAUUGCACAAGACUCAUAAUCUUGUGAUUUGCUUCCUGCUGAAUCACUGCAGCAAGUAUGAAGCAACUUCUGUAGCAAAACAGAAAAGGGGUGCUAUUAAACUUUAAAGGGACCCCUCCAUCUGAAGAAGGUCACCUUUUAAUGAGCUGAUAUAAAUUUCUAAAGGUACCGAUGAGUCACUCAAUGCAUGGGAUGGACAGGCAUUGCUGCACUCUGUCUUCUAGCUCUCCAAUGU
rnacentral:lncRNA from 1 species